rnacentral:rRNA from 1 species
UACAGAGGGUGCAAGCGUUGUUCGGAAUUAUUGGGCGUAAAGAGCUCGUAGGCGGCCUGUUGCGUCCGCUGUGAAAGCCCGGGGCUUAACCCCGGGUCGGCAGUGGAUACGGGCAGGCUAGAGGUAGGUAGGGGAGAUUGGAAUUCCUGGUGUAGCGGUGGAAUGCGCAGAUAUCAGGAGGAACACCGAUGGCGAAGGCAGAUCUCUGGGCCGUAACUGACGCUGAGGAGCGAAAGCGUGGGGAGCGAACAGG